rnacentral:misc_RNA from 1 species
UCCGGUUCUUCACCAGCAGUCUCCUUAGAGUCCCCACCAUUACGUGUUGGCAACUAAGGAUAAGGGUUGCGCUCGUUACGGGACUUAACCCAACAUCUCACAACACGAGCUGACGACAGCCAUGCAGCACCUGUCUCUACGUUCCUUUCGGCACAAAAGCAUCUCUGCUUCCUUCGUAGGAUGUCAAGGGUAGGUAAGGUUCUUCGCGUUGCAUCGAAUUAAACCACAUGCUCCACCGCUUGUGCGGGCCCCCGUCAAUUCCUUUGAGUUUUAACCUUGCGGUCGUACUCCCCAGGCGGAAGACUUAUCGCGUUAGCUUCGAUACUAAACAGUCAUGCUGCCCAACAUCUAGUCUUCAUCGUUUACAGCGUGGACUAC